GAAUCAUUCCUUCAGAGGCAGAGGGUCUGUCCGGUGAACAGAAAGUCCCUGGUUCGAUUCCAGCAUGAGGCA
rfam:Ascaris suum AG00002, whole genome shotgun sequence.